CAUUUGCUUGGGCGCAAGCCUGACCGCCUGCCGCGUGGAGGGGAUGAAGGCCUUAGGGUGGGUAAAGCUCUUUUAGCGGAGACGAUAAUGACGGUAUCCGCAGAAAAAGCCCCGGCCAACUUCGUGCCAGCAGCCGCGGUAAUACGAAGGGGGCUAGCGUUGCUCGGAAUCACUGGGCGUAAAGCGCACGUAGGUGGGUCGUUAAGUCGGGGGUGAAAUCCCGGAGCUCAACUCCGGAACUGCCUUCGAUACUGGCGACCUUCGAGUCCGGGAGAGGUGAGUGGAACUGCGAGUGUAGAGGUGAAAUUCGUAGAUAUUCGCAAGAACACCAGUGGCGAAGGCGGCUCACUGGCCCGGUACUGACACUGAGGUGCGAAA
rnacentral:rRNA from 1 species